rnacentral:rRNA from 1 species
CAAGCACCUGUACCCUCAACUUCACCCAUCCGCUUCCCCUUAAUUUUACCAGUUGAGGGGGUCUAGAGAAGGGACCACGCUGGACCGUUAAGUCAGCCCCUAUCCCUUAAUCCUUUGUUAGCAAGACAACGUGUGCCGACUCUAUUUUUUUCCCGGUCAUUUAAGGGUAGAGUGUUGGUUUGCACCCUACCCCUGACUAUUAGGUAAACGGUUCGGAUUAGGGAGUUAUUUAAGAGCGUAGAUUUGAGGGUAAGGGAAAGGAAUAUAAACGGUUUGUGCGACAGAGAGAGAGUGUGUUUAGAACAGAGAAAGACAAAGUCUUUGUUGUCGUGGUACCUAGAGCUACACCUCGAGGUGAUGCCGGGCUAAACUGGACCCUCGCUGGUCUAGGCACGCAGAGGCGGAGCGAGGUGCACGGAGGUACCAGACGGCAGAAGGGCUCGCGACCGCGGCGCGCUGGUCUAAGCACGCAGAGGCGGAGCGAGGUGCGCGGAGGUACCAGGCGGCAGAAGGGCUGGCGGCGGCGGCGUGAGUCGGCGGCGACAGGGUACGGUACCAGCGGAGGGAGGUCUUGCUGCACGGCACCAGCGGAGGGACGGAGAGGGCGUUCACCCGGAGACGCAAAGAAACGAAAAAAAGUCCUGUGAUCCACGGCCCAACCUCAAAACCCUGGCCUACGCGGUUAUUGUUCCCUGGUUCCACUACUUGAUUGCCGUGCCCGUCUUACUAAGAAGUCCUACUUAGUCUUUGACUUCUACUACUAUGUUACCUGUGUUUUCUUCGAAGGAGACAGGAGUAGCGACGUGACAUCAGAAAGUCGGUUCGAGACCACUUACUACUGCCUCUUUUUCUAUAGCGCUGUCUCCAAGUACAGAAGAACGCAGGUUGGGAUCUAGUGUCCCCGAGAGAAUAGUCGUUUUAUCGAUGAGAUCUACGCGUCUACUGCUAGAUCGGCGCCAACACGAAAUAGAGCAGCCCUGCUUUAUCGGGACUGAACAGGGACGGCGGCGGCCAUCUCCGAUGAAAGGUAUCCGGAUCCUUUGUUGUACCUGUACGACGGGAAAAAGGGUUAGUUUUAUGAAGACACACCUCUCGAGCCCGCAGCCACCGACACAGCUUCGUCUCGAGCCAGUAGCCACUGUCGUGCCGGCCGACUAAACGCUGACCAGCCUACCGCUCGAAGUGUAUGGACACGCGCAUGCGCACCCAUUGUGUGAUAUAACCGGCGCGUUCUCGUUCAAGUGUCACUAACGUUCCCUUCUCUACACGACGUGAAUACAGACAUUAGUCCCGUCUAGGUAUAGGUAAUAUACGUAUAAAACAAUCAUGAUAACAUUAAAUCGUUCAAGAACAAGAAAGGCAUUCAACAAACGACUUGUAAAGUACGGCGGAACUCGUACGUUUUCAUGAAGACUUAAAACGUACUAUAAAACAAUCAGUAUUUAGUGCAGUGUGUGGUGUAGAUAAAAAAAAUAAAACCAUCAAAUUUUUAUUGAUAAGAUUUACAAGAAAAUUAUUGAUAAAAUUUACAUGAUAUCUGGCUUCAGUCUUAUAACCAUUCGAGUAAGAAAAACAUUCGAUACCUCUACUUAAACUACUCAACACACUUCUACUUUCCUUCGACUACCUUAUAUGAAACUAAUCGUCACUGGAACCUCUCGCUUACCACGGGGAUGUAUCUGAAAAAACCAAUCUCUUUUCUAGUGUCACCUGUGUUGACGUCUUCGUCGCUAAGUUACAAAAUAAGUCAAAUUGGUACUGAUAAGAAAAGUAAGUCUAUACGAUACUUGAUUUAAUACAUAGAAGAAGCGGGAACUUAACCUAUUAAUGGCACCAAAGUAGAAUACUGAGUCUAUACGUGUUCCUUAACUUAUCACGACAAAAAAAUUAGUAUUAGACAGGUGGCUGUUACGUAUCCUUUCAUCUAUACUUCCUGAUAAAAUACGGUAAACUAACCUUGUGAUUUGAUCCAAAACAACCAAGAACU